rnacentral:miRNA from 1 species
AAGAGAAAACAAGAGCGAGAGAGAGAGAGAGAGAGAGAGAGAGAAACAAAAAAAAUAAUGGCAAAACUAGGGGAAGGGUUUAGAAAGAGAGGGAGUGAGGGAGAGAGGAAACAUAUCUCAUUUCAGUAUAAGAAGAAAAAAAAGCUUUAAUCGUUUCAUUUAAGAAAUUUCAUUCAAUAUUUCUUUCAUUCUUUCUUUCUUUUUUUCCCUCUCUCUCUCUCUCUCUCUCUCUCUCUCUCUCUCCCUCU